GCUUCAGUUCUCUUUAAUUAGUUCAGAGUUAAGUGACAAAGUAUUUAAUCAGCAAGCUAACAAGUGCAGCAGCAGAUUGCUCCAUGUGUGUGCAUGCAUGAGGGUGUGACAAAAAAGAUGCUGAGCUAACACCUGUCAAAUACACAGAAGGAAGCACAGUGUAAUAUCAAAAGAAUGCUCUUAUCUACAAAGAAAUGGCAAAUAGCAACCAAAGACUUCUGGAUACCACUGGUCAGAGAAGCAUAAUAAGGAAAGGAAAGGAACUCUCUUCUCCAGGGAGAUUCAUCCAUCCCCUGCUGCUGCUGCCUUUCACCCACAGAGGGCAUCCAUGUGACCACCUGGUAAAACCCUAUUACUAGCUGUUGAUAGAUUUCCCAAAGUUGGCAUCAACAAGCUAGCAAACUGUGAAGCCAUUAACAGAGGAGUGUGACUUCACUGCAGGACCAAAGAGAAUGAACAGCUGGCCUCAGAUGGAGAAAGCUCUAAUUCAAACACAUAUAUCUUCAAUAAUAGCAGGGGAAAUACAGAAAAUUACUGUCAAAAUAAAUUGCAUUUUGUAUAAAUGCCAUCUCCUUUCACGUUUACCCCAGCAUGAUAAUCCUUCUUUAUUUAGUGGUAUUGCCCUUUUCUCUUUAGAGACCUUUGCUGAAGUCUUCUUUUAUAUUUUAUGUAUCAUUAAAAUGACUUAAAUGAGCAGAGGAUGUAGCUCUGCUGACAUUUAUUUUAAUUAUUUACAUAAAUAAAGAGGUUUUCUUAUUCCACA